CCUACGGGGGGCAGCAGUAGGGAAUAUUGCGCAAUGGACGGAAGUCUGACGCAGCGACGCCGCGUGAGCGAUGAAGGUCUUCGGAUCGUAAAGCUCUGUCCUUGGGGAAGAAGAAAAUGACGGUAGCCAAGGAGGAAGCCCCGGCUAACUACGUGCCAGCAGCCGCGGUAAUACGUAGGUGGCGAGCGUUGUCCGGAAUUACUGGGUGUAAAGGGCGUGUAGGCGGGGAUGCAAGUCAGAUGUGAAAUUCCGGGGCUCAACCCCGGCGCUGCAUCUGAAACUGUGUAUCUUGAGUGCUGGAGAGGAAAGCGGAAUUCCUAGUGUAGCGGUGAAAUGCGUAGAUAUUGGGAGGAACACCAGUGGCGAAGGCGACUACCUGGACGAUAACUGACGCUGAGGCACGAAAGCUAGGGGAGCAAACAGGAUUAGAUACCCCAGUAGUCACUC
rnacentral:rRNA from 1 species